rnacentral:rRNA from 1 species
CUGUGGUCUGCAACUCGACCACACGAAGCUGGAAUCGCUAGUAAUCGCGAAUCAGCAUGUCGCGGUGAAUACGUUCCCGGGUCUUGUACACACCGCCCGUCACACCAUGGGAGUUGGUAACGCCCGAAGCCAGUGACCCAACCGGAAACGGAGGGAGCUGUCGAAGGUGGGACCGAUAACUGGGGUGAAGUCGUAACAAGGUAUC